UACGUAGGGUCCGAGCGUUGUCCGGAAUUACUGGGCGUAAAGAGCUCGUAGGUGGUUUGUCGCGUUGUUCGUGAAAACUCACAACUCAAUUGUGGGCGUGCGGGCGAUACGGGCAGACUUGAGUACUGCAGGGGAGACUGGAAUUCCUGGUGGUAGCGGUGGAAUGCGCAGAUAUCAGGAGGAACACCGGUGGCGAAGGCGGGUCUCUGGGCAGUAACUGACGCUGAGGAGCGAAAGCGUGGGGAGCGAACAGGA
rnacentral:rRNA from 1 species